rnacentral:rRNA from 1 species
GACAGAGGUGCCAAGCGUUAGGCGGAAUCACUGGGCUUAAAGCGCGUGUAGGUGGCGGCCUAAGUACCUUGUGAAAUCCUGCGGCUCAACCGCAGAACUGCUUGGUAUACUGGGUCGCUUGAGACAUUCAGGGGCAACUGGAACAAGCGGUGGAGCGGUGAAAUGCGUAGAUAUCGCUUGGAACGCCGAAGGUGAAAACAGGUUGCUGGGGAUGUUCUGACACUGAGACGCGAAAGCCAGGGGAGCGAACGGG